rnacentral:tRNA from 1 species
GGCCCGGUGGCAGAGUGGUGAUGCAGAGGACUGCAAAUCCUUUCACGUCGGUUCGAUUCCGGCCCGGGCCUCCA